rnacentral:rRNA from 1 species
GACGAACGCUGGCGGCGUGCUUAACACAUGCAAGUCGAACGGAAAGGCCCUGCUUUUGUGGGGUGCUCGAGUGGCGAACGGGUGAGUAACACGUGAGUAACCUGCCCUUGACUUUGGGAUAACUUCAGGAAACUGGGGCUAAUACCGGAUAGGAGCUCCUGCUGCAUGGUGGGGGUUGGAAAGUUUCGGCGGUUGGGGAUGGACUCGCGGCUUAUCAGCUUGUUGGUGGGGUAGUGGCUUACCAAGGCUUUGACGGGUAGCCGGCCUGAGAGGGUGACCGGCAACAUGGGGAUUGAGAUAGGGCCCGGCCGCCUACGGGGGGCAGCAGUGGGGAGUUUGGCACAGUGGGGGGGAGCCUGAUGCAGAAGCGCCGGGUGAGGGAGGACGGCUUUGGGUUUGAAACCCGUUUUCGCCUGUAAGGAGGGGUGAGGGAGGUUAGGGGGUAAAGAAGCACCGGCUAACUACGUC